GCCGGGGCGCGGUGGCGCACGCCUGUCAUCCCAGUGGCUAGGGAGGCCGAGGCAGGAGGAUCGCAAGGUGGAGGCCAGCCUCAGCCACUGAGCAAGACCCUGAGCAACUCAUCGAGACCCUGUCUCUA
rnacentral:sRNA from 1 species